rnacentral:antisense_RNA from 1 species
CUUCAGCGACCCGAGCCACACCGGUCGUUCGGCGGUGUGGUGCUGGCCGUAGGUGGCGAGGAGCGCUUGGGCUUC